rnacentral:rRNA from 1 species
CCCUUAGAUGUUCUGGGCUGCACGCGCGCUACACUGAAGCGUUCAACGAGUAUUCACCUUGCCCGGGAGGGUUGGGUAAUCUUUUGAAAACGCUUCGUGAUGGGGAUAGAUUAUUGCAAUUAUUAAUCUUCAACGAGGAAUUCCUAGUAAGCGCGAGUCAUCAGCUCGUGCUGAUUACGUCCCUGCCCUUUGUACACACCGCCCGUCGCUCCUACCGAUUGGGUGAUCCGGUGAAUAAUUCGGACUGCAGCACUGCUUGGUCUCCAGGCUUUGCAGCGGAAAGUUUAGUGAACCUUAUCACUUAGAGGAAGGAGAAGUCGUANCA